UACGUAGGGGGCAAGCGUUGUCCGGAAUCAUUGGGCGUAAAGAGCGUGUAGGCGGCCCGGUAAGUCCGCUGUGAAAGUCCAGGGCUCAACCCUGGGAUGCCGGUGGAUACUGUCGGGCUCGAGUCCGGAAGAGGAGUGUGGAAUUCCUGGUGUAGCGGUGAAAUGCGCAGAUAUCAGGAGGAACACCAAUGGCGAAGGCAGCACUCUGGGACGGUAUUGACGCUAAGGCGCGAAAGCGUGGGGAGCAAACAGG
rnacentral:rRNA from 1 species